UGAAAGUGCCACUUAUAAUCAAUAAUAAAAAUCGACCUGAAAGUAAACUUUAAAUUAAAUAUUUUCUUUUACAAUCGUCAAAUACAUAUGAAUGAUUUCUUAUAAUUUCUAACCAUAUAUUAUCUCUAUUGUCAUCUACACUUAAAACUGACUUUACUUCGUUUUUUUUUUAUAAUUUAUAAGUACACUAUGUCGUUGCUAAAACGCAGCCGUCACAUUAUAGAGAGUUCCUUUCUAUGAACCCACAUAAGCGGAGACACUCAAAGUGAACUUUGAUUACCUCGAACGUCUUGAAAAACGUUAAAAGCUAGUUUACGCUAUCAAUGUUUCUGUGAUCAAACAGUAGGAAUUUUGCAUAGAUAAAUUCUAAGUUUUGAAGGAUUUGCAAGAAAUGUUUCAGUCAGUGUUUAACACUAAGUUAGUUCCCUUAAACAUUCUUGGAAAACUUUCAAAGAAUUUACCUAUGCAAAAUUCCUACUGUGGUAAGCUAACAUGAUUGUCAAACAACGAAAACUUUCAGACCUGUACUAGAUAAAGGGAUAAAGUGGAAACUCGGUAUCCUGGUUUGCCUGCCUUAGCAAAAUAAUUAGGAACAUUUUCACAUACAGAUUAUGGAAGAAUCUUAAAGUGUCACUACCUCGAAAUGAAUUUUGGCAUAAGUGUAAUAUUCAAGUCGUUCUAUAAGAAGGAAUGUAAUAUAU
rnacentral:lncRNA from 1 species